UGUCGCAGACGAACCUGAAGGCUCUUAUUGAGCACAGAAACCUGGAGCCAAUCCUGUCAUUUUAGUCACCAGAAGUGCAAAGAUGCUGUUAUCUCCAUUCAUUUAAAAAAUAAAAUAAAACAGCCACCAGUUCCUAACCAGCUUCUGCCAUCUCUCACUUUUUCCCAAAUGUUUGUCAACAUCUUUCAUAACAUGACAUCCAUUUGGACCAGCACCAUUUGUUGAAGAUGAAACAACCCAGAUGUCCAUCAAUGAAGGCAUGGAUACAGAAAUUGUGGUAUUUUUACACAACGGAAUACUAGUCAGCAAUCAAAAAUGAGAAAAUAAUGAAAUUUGCAGGCAAAUGGUGGGAUCUAGUAAAGAUCAUUCUGAGUGAGUAUCCCAGAAGGUGAAAGACAAACAUGGUAAAUACUCGCUUAUAUAGACCUACAAGAUAUAAUAAACAUAAUGAAGUCUAUACACCUAAAGAAGAUAAACAAGAAAGCGGACACGGGGUAAGCUGAUCAAUCCUCACUUAGAAAGACAAAUGGGAUGUGCAUUGGACAUAUGACAGGAAUCUAUUGCAGAAGGCAUCUGAAAGACUCUACCUAGCAGUGUUUCAAAGCAGAUACUAAG